rnacentral:rRNA from 1 species
AGCGAACGCUGGCGGCAGGCUUAACACAUGCAAGUCGAACGGGCGUAGCAAUACGUCAGUGGCAGACGGGUGAGUAACACGUGGGAACGUACCCUUUGGUUCGGAACAACCCAGGGAAACUUGGGCUAAUACCGGAUAUUCCCUCACGGGGAAAGAUUUAUCGCCAAAGGAUCGGCCCGCGUCGGAUUAGCUUGUUGGUGAGGUAACGGCUCACCAAGGCGACGAUCAGUAGCUGGUCUGAGAGGAUGAUCAGCCACACUGUGACUGAGACACGGCCCGGACUGCUACGGGAGGCGGCAGUGGGGAAUAUUGGACAAAGGGCGAAAGCCUGAUCCAGCCAUGCCGCGUGAGUGAUGAAGGCCCUAGGGUUGUAAAGCUCUUUCAGCGGGGAAGAUAAUGACGGUACCCGCAGAAGAAGCCCCGGCUAACUUCGUGCCAGCCGCCGCAGUAAAAC